rnacentral:rRNA from 1 species
GUGAGGAAUAUUGCGCAAUGGGGGAAACCCUGACGCAGCGACGCCGCGUGGAGGACGACGCCCUUCGGGGUGUAAACUCCUUUCGACGGGGACGAAUGCCCGCAAGGGUUUGACGGUACCCGUAUAAGAAGCCCCGGCUAACUACGUGCCAGCAGCCGCGGUAAUACGUAGGGGGCAAGCGUUGCUCGGAAUUACUGGGCGUAAAGGGUCCGUAGGCGGUGGGGCAUGUCGGUUGUGAAAUCUCCCGGCUUAACUGGGAGGGUGCGAUCGAAACUGUUCCGCUAGAGGGCCGGAGAGGCGAGUGGAAUUGCUGGUGUAGCGGUGAAAUGCGUAGAGAUCAGCAGGAACACCGGAGGCGAAGGCGGCUCGCUGGACGGCACCUGACGCUGAGGGACGAAAGCUAGGGGAGCAAACAGG